CAACUACUCCCUCUGUCCCAAAUUUCUUGUCUUAGAUUUGUCUAGAUACGGAUGUAUCUAAUACUAAAAUGUGACUUGAUACAUCCGUAUCUAGACAAAUCUAAGACAAGAAUUUUGGGACGGAGGGAGUACUUN
rfam:Triticum aestivum genome assembly, contig: Triticum_aestivum_CS42_TGACv1_scaffold_591964_7BS